rnacentral:rRNA from 1 species
CAGUAGCCACGGUAAUACAGAGGGUGCGAGCGUUAAUCGGAUUUACUGGGCGUAAAGCGUGCGUAGGCGGCUUCUUAAGUCGGAUGUGAAAUCCCUGAGCUUAACUUAGGAAUUGCAUUCGAUACUGGGAAGCUAGAGUAUGGGAGAGGAUGGUAGAAUUCCAGGUGUAGCGGUGAAAUGCGUAGAGAUCUGGAGAAAUACCGAUGGCGAAGGCAGCCAUCUGGCCUAAUACUGACGCUGAGGUACGAAAGCAUGGGGAGCAAACAGGAUUAGAUACCCGAGUAGUCCCUGUCUCUUAUAC